rnacentral:rRNA from 1 species
AUUGAACGCUGGCGGCAGGCCUAACACAUGCAAGUCGAGCGGAGCGGCGGACGGGUGAGUAAUGCCUAGGAAUUUGCCUGGUAGUGGGGGAUAACGCCCGGAAACGGGAGCUAAUACCGCAUCCUAUCAGACCAGUCUCGGCCGGAGUAGCUAGUGGGUGGGGUAAAGGCCUACCAAGGAGACGACCCGUAACUGGUCUGAGAGGAUGAUCAGUCACACUGGAACUGAGACACGGUCCAGACUCCUACGGGAGGCAGCAGUGGGGAAUAUUGCACAAUGGGCGCAAGCCUGAUGCAGCCAUGCCGCGUGUAUGAAGAAGGCCUUCGGGUUGUAAAGUACUUUCAGCGGGGAGGCGUUACCCGCAGAAGAAGCACCGGCUAACUCCGUGCCAGCAGCCGCGGUAAUAC